rnacentral:rRNA from 1 species
AGUGAACGCUGGCGGCGUGCCUAAUACAUGCAAGUCGAACGAUGAAGUCCUAGCUUGCUCGGAUGGAUUAGUGGCGCACGGGUGAGUAAUAUAUAGUUAGUCUGCUCUACACAGCGGAACAACAGCUGGAAACGACUGCUACUACUACAUACUCCUCUUUGACUUACGUUAAAUAGGGCAAGUCUUUUCGGUGUCGGAUGAGACUAUAUCGUAUCAGCUAGUUGGUAUGGUGAUGGCUUACCAAGGGUAUGACGCGUAACUGGUCGGAGAGGAUGAUCAGUCACGUCGGAUAUGGGACGCGGUCCAGACGCCUACGGCAGGAAGCAGGAAGGAAUAAUGCGCAAAGGGGGCGUGCCGGACGCAGCAACGCCGCGUGGAAGACGACUCUGUUCGGGGCGUAAGCUCCUUUUUUCAUGAAAGUAUAAUGACGGUAGCUGAUGAAGAAGCACCGGCUAACUCCGUG